rnacentral:lncRNA from 1 species
AGAAACAUAGCCAACGUAAAUAAACCCACCAUAGGCAGCUGACUGGGGGAGGUCGCUAGCCUAAUCCUCGAACUCGUCGAAGUCCUGGAACUCCUGGAGAUCCACCUCGACACCUUCUUCUUUACCUGAGCAUAGAUUGCACCAAAAGCAACCUGGUGUUUUGUGAAAGCAAGGGUGAGUACACAUCAACGUACUCAGCAAAUGUCUCGUUUGGCUGAGGUGGACUAGAUUUAUGUGAAGUUAAGCUCAAGCAGUUGCUUUUAGUUUGUCAGGUUUUUAUUAUUAGUGGAAGCCAAGUUUUAGCAAUAACCAACCUGUGAAUCAUUUUCUCCUCGAGGAACAUCAUUAUCAUCAUCGAACCAAAAACAUUAAUGGAACCAUUGCAUCUCAGAUCAUCUGUAUCUCUAAUCAAAGAGGAUCCCAAGGCUGCUCAUAACCGUGACCUCGACUAAUAUACUAGUUUCAUUCCCUCUGCAGAGGCCGUACACUUUACCCAUGAGUCGUGAUCCCUUUCCAGCCUAGGUUUGCAAGACCCGAUUUUCACUACCAAGGUGAAGGGACAGGGAUACACUAUGUAGCCUUUACAAAGACUCCCCUAGUGCAUAGCUGCUCGUUAGGUUUCGCCAGUCGUACAAAUGCAGUACACCUCCACAAGGUGGGUGAUUAACAAAACCAAAUCGAAUGAACCUUUGCACCCCACCUUAGCAGAGCGAGCACUACGCCCCGGCCCUCAUUGACGGCCCUCCGACAAAGCCAACUACACCCCCAGGUUCAUCUAAUUAUUCAGCUAAGGGCAUCCCAUUCCACCCUCAUGGCUGCACUGUUUUCCCGGGUGGUCACUCAACGAACAGGUCCUUACAGAGAGGUACUCAGGAAAAUAGCCUGAGUCCCCUAAAGUGCCACCAGAACAUCAUCAUAAUCAAGAUAUCAUCGUAUCAUAAAUGUUCACAUCAUGUUCAUUGAUUAAAGUAAAGCAAUAGCAUGAAGCUAACCAUAGUAACCCAACACAUAAUCAAGGACAGGGUAAAUAGAAAGCUAGUCAAUCCAUAUAUUGAUCAUGGUAUGUGGGGCAGUGAAUUAUUAAGCAAAUAGGACAUAAUAGGUCAGAGGACACUUGCCUUCACCAAACAGAUGCUCAGGUCUUCAAUCUCGUAGAACUCGAAGAGCUUGAUCACUUAGUCGCCAAAGCUUGAUUGUUGAUUCCUCGAAGCUCGGGAAUGGGUCGCAAUCUAUUCACGACACGCGGUAAAUACGAACAGGCAUAAGCAAACAAACAUAUACAUGCAUAAGAAUAUUACACCAUACAAAGGAAAACAUGAUAAAAACGUGUAAUAUAAAAUAGAGAUCGCUUCUACGGUCACGCAAGAAAAAGAAACACGAUAGUCGGAGCUACGGUCUAGAAGUUAGCGCGUUUACGCCAAACAAGAAUAACUAUAACCUAUAAUUCGACAUUAUCAAACAUAAAUCAUAUCUAAUAUUUAGUUUUGCUUAACCUGCUACACUAACAGCUGUCAGUUAGACCGGUAAUUUAAUUAAAGUAAGAGAUUUUAAGUGAAGCGAAUUUACGACGCGUGAAACAACACGAUAGCGUGCGAACGACGCGCGGACACGCGCGGCAUAGCACGGUGACGACACACGAAAACAGUGCACGCGGCCAGCGCGAAUGACGCGCGAAUCAGCACGCGACCGCGAGCACAUCACGCGCGAACAGCACGCAGAUAGUGCGACGACGUGUGAUAAUCGCUAACAAAUAACACGAUUACAAUGAAUAAGUUUUGAUAAGAACAUUAGUUCGGCAUAAUUAUAGAUUGACAUUUAUCAAAUGUAAAUCAAGACUACUACUUUGCUUUGACCAACUUACUAUCUUAGUGGUUGACAGUUAAUCAGGUAAUUUUAUUAAUAUGAGUGAUUCUAAGUGAGACGAAAUUAACAACACGCGACAAGAUGCGCGACGUGCAAAAAUAAUGCACGAACGAUACACAGCCACAUCGACUUAGCGCAGACGACGCGCGGCGAUGCGCAUGAUCCGCACGCGCGGCACUCGCACACAACGUGUGACGACGCGUGCGAAACAGCACGCGAACGACGUGCGAAGCAGCACGCCACUGCUGCGGAACAAAACGCGCGACAGGCGAGAAAAACUAAAUAUGGGACGCGUUUAUACUAAACAAAUAUUAAAUAAAUAAAAAGUAGUUAAGUUAAUAUUAGUCAUGUUAAAUACUAAUUACAAUUCUAAAAGUAAUCAGAUUAUAUUUAUAAACAUUGCAUAGGACUUGCUACAUUUAAGCAGUAAAUCUUGAAAAGGCAUGACACGCAAGGAUCGCUAAUGAAAUCGCGUUUACGCUAAAUGGGUAUUAACUAUAAUACUUAGUUUCGGCAUGAUCAUAUUGGUAGGCAUUUAUAAAAUAUAAUUUAACACAACUGCUUAGUUCUGAUUAUUUUGAUAUUCUAAUAGUUAACAGCUACAGGGGUGAUUAAUUAAUGUGAAUGAUCAUAAGCGAAAACAAUUUAAUAACGCGCGAGACAAUGUGCACGACAGCGCGUGACACGCGUGAGUCAACGAGACUACGCGUGCGAACAACACGAUGACGCGCAAACAAUGUCGUGCGUGAACAACAACAAACACAUAAUUAAUUAACGGUAUUUAAACUGAUAUUAAUCAAGUUAAUUAACGUUUAUGUUUAUAAAAGGCCCGAGUUAAAAACUACAACAUAGUUUUAAUUAGAAGGUCUUUUUUAAAUAACCAUAGAAUACCAAAAUGUACAUAAUUAAUUAAUCAAUUAAACUUGCGACAUGGCUAGAUAACAUUACUACUACAAAAUCGAUGUUGCUACAGAGUUGACGCGAUUGAAGUGAAUAAAAAACUGGUUUAUGGCACAUUAUAUAUUGAAUAGCUAACAAUUCGUGGCUAAUAAACAGUUUUCUUAAAGCGCCCGAAUCGUGACUCGCGCAAACGACGACACGUGAACAGCACGCGACAAUGUGCGUGCCAGAUACGCAGCGCGAACGCGCGAACGAACAAUGGCGAUGCGCCAACAGCGCGCGAUUAACAAGAAAAAUAGCUUGUGCGACACGCGCGAAUCAGCACGCUGCAACGCGUGAAACAACGUGUGGAUGACACGCGAAGCAACGAAGCAACGCAUGCGACAGCGCACACCACAAGCAGGAAUCACUAACAAAUAUCAUGUUAUAUUAAGCAUAUUAAUUCAAAAGCAUUUCAAUCAGAAUAAUCACAUUAUCAAGUAUUUACAAACGCAUAGUUAAAAUUACAAAUUUGAUUCGAUUGAGUUGUUAAUUUUAAUGACCGACAACUAAAUAGGAAUUUAAUUAUUUAGCAUGAAUGAUAUGACGAAACGAUUUUAUUGAUGCGCGUGAACGACGACUCGCAUGAGAGUCACGGUUGUUUAACGUUGCUGUGAGGGGGGCGCACAUGAGCGAGUUGCGGGCACGCCAAGUUGGGCUACCGCGCGCUGCCUGGGCAGCGAGCCACGCCGGCCACACGCCGCCGGCGCAUGCGGUCGCGCCGGGGGCACAACUAGCCAUGGCGAUGGAGAGGAGAGAAGGGAGGGCAGAAGGAUUCCUCACCUCGACGCGGAACGACAGCGACCAACAAAGCUCCAUCGUGCGAUGGCGAGCAUGGUGGCUGCGCGGGCGAGGCUGCGGCACAAUGCCCUGAGGCAUGGGGAGGAGAGGAUGCGGUUCAGGGAGAUGGGAAAAGGGAAAUGAGGGAUGUGGGUUUUGAACGGAGGAGGUUAGGAAGUUGUCUUUGCUCUGCUCGUGACGUGGGGGGGGGGGGCUGCCGCUGCUGUUGCCAAGCGGAGCAGGGAACCGAUGCUUUGGGUUGAAG